AUUGAACGCUGGCGGCAGGCCUAACACAUGCAAGUCGAGCGGAGCGGCGGACGGGUGAGUAAUGCCUAGGAAUCUGCCUGGUAGUGGGGGAUAACGUCCGGAAACGGGCGAUAAUACCGCAUACUAUCAGAUGAGCCUAUGUCGGUUUAGCUAGUUGGUGGGGGAAAGGCCUACCAAGGCGACGAUCCGUAACUGGUCUGAGAGGAGGAUCAGUCAGACUGGAAAUUAGGCACGGUCCAGACGCCUUCGGGAGGCAGCAUGGGGGAAUAUUGUACAAUGGGCGAAAGCCUGAUGCAGCCAUGCCGCGUGUGUGAAGAAGGUCUUCGGAUUGUAAAGCACUUUAAGUUGGGAGGCGUUACCAGCAGAAUAAGCACCGGCUAACUUCGUGCCAGCCGCCGCGGUAAUAC
rnacentral:rRNA from 1 species